GUCGGGAUGGCCGAACAGCUAGGCGGCAGACUGCAGAUCUGCUUUACGGGGGUGCAAAUCCCUCUCCCGACU
rnacentral:tRNA from 1 species